CUACGGGGGGCAGCAGUGGGGAAUCUUGCGCAAUGGACGAAAGUCUGACGCAGCGAUCCCGCGUGGAGGAUGACGCAUUACGGUGUGUAAACUCCUUUUCUGGCGGAAGACGAAUGACGGUACACCAGGAAUAAGAGACGGCUAACUACGUGCCAGCAGCCGCGGUAAUACGUAGGUCUCAAGCGUUAUCCGGAUUUACUGGGCGUAAAGAGUCUGUAGCCUGAUAUAUAAGUCCAUUUUCAAAUACUGUGGCUCAACCAUAGACAGGGAGUGGAUACUGUGUAUCUAGAAGUUAUUGGGGGUUAGUGGAAUUUCCGGUGGAGCGGUGAAAUGUGUUGAUAUCGGAAAGAACGCCGAAAGCGAAAGCAGCUAACUACAGUAAACUUGACGGUCAGAGACGAAAGCUUGGGUAGCAAACGGGAUUAGAUACCCUUGUAGUC
rnacentral:rRNA from 1 species